rnacentral:lncRNA from 1 species
GACUCCUUGGCAAUUUGUUGUUUGUUGUUCUUGUUGUGUGCUUGGAAGUUGAUGUAAGUCCAUCGAGUGGCAUUCGGGUUCCAGUGUGGUUUUGUUUGGUUCGGAUGCUGAUGUAAGUCCAGUGAUUGGCAGUCGGGCUCCACGUUUGCCCCUUUGUGUUUGUUGGGUUCGGAUGCUGAUGUAAGUCCAGUGAUUGGCAGUCGGGCUCCACGUUUGCCCUUUUGUGUGUGUUUUGGUUCGGAUGCUGAUGUAAGUCCAGUGAUUGGCAGUCGGGCUCCAUGUUUGCCACCUUUUUGUGUGUAGGUGUCUUGUUUUGUUUGGCGUG